AAGAAUGGAUACAUAAAAAAAUGACCGGAAAAGGGAAUAGUAUUUUACAAUUAUUGAGUUGAGAGUUGAAACCCCACCCUGGGAAUGAAUUUCAAAUUUUAAUUAGGAGUAUUUGCUGACAUAGCGAUUGUAUAUUGCGAAUUCAUACUCUAGCACUGUGCUAAGCAAAUUUGUUGCAAGAGAAAUCAGUAUUGUAUUGGAAUUUAUGCUUGAUCGAUCUGGGAUAUCUCCCUUUUUACAAAUUCGAUUAGGGUUUCUCUUAAUUCGUGUUGUUUCAUUGUUUAAAGAGCUUCCCGUCAAGCAUUGAUGACAACCGCCAAACCGGAGUGGUGGUGGGUUGAAGAACGGAGUUGAGAGAACCGUGAAUCUGAGGUAAAUCCGGAGUAAACCCAGGAACGAAGAAGCAAAUGGGGUGGGGAACCGCGGUUUACGAGGGAGUGGUGGCGGUGGGAUCGCUGCUACUGCUGGGUUGGGGUGGGCUAUGGUUCUUGAACAGGCGGCUUUACAAGGAGUACGAGGAGAAGCGGGUAUUGGUCCAAAUCAUAUUCAGUGUUGUCUUUGCUUUCUCUUGCAAUCUCUUUCAGCUUGUCCUCUUCGAGAUCAUUCCCAUUCUCUCCAAAGAGGCAAGAUGGAUGAAUUGGAAGGUGGAUUUGUUUUGUCUGAUAAUGUUGCUCGUCUUCAUGUUGCCAUACUAUCAUUGCUAUCUGAUGCUUUGUAAUAGUGGUGUUAGAAAGGAACGUGCUUCGCUUGGUGCUGUUCUAUUCUUGUUGGCUUUUCUUUAUGGUUUUUGGCGACUGGGUAUUCAUUUUCCAAUGCCUUCUCCAGAUAAAGGAUUUUUCACUACACCUCAGUUGGUGAGCAGAAUUGGGGUCAUUGGUGUGACUGUCAUGGCUGUAUUAUCUGGUUUUGGAGCUGUGAAUUUGCCCUAUAGCUAUCUCUCUCUCUUUAUCCGAGAAAUUGAUGAAUCAGAAGUCAAGGCACUUGAAAGGCAGCUAAUGCAGUCAAUUGAGACUUGCAUUGCAAAGAAAAAGAGAAUAGUUUUGUGUCAAAUGGAGAUGGAGCGAAAGCAAGGGUCAGAAGAGAAGUUAAACAAUAGAUCCUUCUUCAAGCGCAUAGUUGGAACUGUUGUUCGAUCUGUUCAGGAUGACCAAAACGAGCAAGAUGUCAAAACCAUGGAAGCAGAGGUACAAGCUUUGGAGGAGCUCUCGAAGCAACUUUUUCUGGAGAUCUAUGAGCUUCGCCAAGCUAAGGAAGCUGCUGCUUAUUCUCGAACCUGGAAGGGUCACCUGCAGAAUCUGUUGGGCUAUGCAUGUUCCGUAUAUUGUGUAUAUAAAAUGAUCAAGUCUUUGCAAAGUGUUGUAUUCAAGGAGGCUGGUUCUGUUGAUCCUGUGACAAGGACAAUCAGCAUAUUUCUGCAGUUCUUUGAUAUAGGCAUCAAUGUAACUUUAUUAUCACAGUACAUUUCCCUUUUAUUCAUUGGGAUGCUGAUAGUCAUAUCUGUACGAGGAUUCUUAACAAAUCUGAUGAAGUUCUUUUUUGCUGUUUCGAGAGUUGGUAGCGGAUCUUCAAGUAACGUUGUCCUUUUCCUCUCUGAAAUAAUGGGGAUGUAUUUUGUUUCUUCCAUACUAUUAAUUAGAAAAAGCUUGGCAACAGAAUACAGGAUGAUUAUUACAGAUGUCCUGGGUGGUGAUAUUCAAUUUGACUUCUAUCACAGAUGGUUUGACGCCAUCUUUGUAGCCAGCGCAUUCCUUUCUCUGCUUUUGCUCUCAGCGCAUUACACGUCUCGCCAGGCCGACAAACAUCCGAUAGAUUAACUAUUCUAUACAAUUGUCCCAAACAGUUCAAAUAUCUUUCAUUCUUGUGGCAUAUUUCUUACUGAUUCCUCCAAAGGACUGGGUGAGGAUUGGUGUUGGAUUUGGAUACAGAGUAUGGUAAAGAUGAAAAUGGUUCUUAUCUUUAGUUGAGUUGGCAUCUCCCUUCCUCAAUGAAUGAACGGUUAUGGGUUCAAACUCCGGUUCCUCCACCCCACACUACUUGUAAUCUAAAAAGGAAAAAGAUUCUAUAUUUUAUGUUAAUCCGCGCUUUGAGAGCAUGGUUUAAUAACAAAAUCUAACACCAAGCUCUUGAAUUCGAUGUCGAUCAUCACUGUUGAUGCCGAGGAAUGGACUAGACAACUGGAGGGGUCAGUUAAAAGAGUACUCUGGUAUCUCAUCUAUGGGGAGUUGAUUUCUAGACAGUUUGGCUGGAGAGGCCAACUCCUGUAACAGUUGCUUUGCCAGUCUGUAUCAACGGGGUUGCAAUUGGUCGAACAAAUUGGGUCGCAGAUCUUCAAUAGCAUGGCACUACUGACCAUACUCUCCCCUCAUCUGAAUUCUGUUCGACAAGCAUGGUAGCAUUUCCCAUAUGUAUUCAAUUUCACUCAGCCACUUUAUAUUCCAAAUUCUCCUCACCCAUUUUAUAUAGUGUUUGAUUUGACUUAUUGUAUGUGUGAUAUCUCAUAUGAUAACAUAAUAUGGUAUUUAGUUGAAAAGACUACAAAGUAUGAUUAAAUGUAAAAAGACCAUUAAG